GGCGUAAGAGCUCGUAGGCGGUUUGUCGCGUCGUUCGUGAAAACUCCACGCUUAACGUGGAGCGUGCGGGCGAUACGGGCAGACUUGAGUUCGGUAGGGGAGACUGGAAUUCCUGGUGUAGCGGUGAAAUGCGCAGAUAUCAGGAGGAACACCGGUGGCGAAGGCGGGUCUCUGGGCCGAUACUGACGCUGAGGAGCGAAAGCGUGGGGAGCGAACAGGAUUAGAUACCCUGGUAGUCCACGCUGUAAACGUUGGGCGCUAGGUGUGGGCGACAUCCACGUUGUCCGUGCCGUAACUAACGCAUUAAGCGCCCCGCCUGGGGAGUACGGCCGCAAGGCUAAAACUCAAAGGAAUUGA
rnacentral:rRNA from 1 species